GACGAACGCUGGCGGCAUGCCUAAUACAUGCAAGUCGAACGCUGAAGCACUCUGCUUGCAGAGUGCGGAUGAGUGGCGAACGGGUGAGUAACACGUGGGAAAUCUGCCUAUAAGAGGGGGAUAACAUUCGGAAACGGAUGCUAAUACCGCAUAUAUUCUUGGACCGCCUGGUCCUUGAAAGAAAGACGGCUUUGCUGUCGCUUAUAGAUGAUCCCGCGGCGUAUUAGUUAGUUGGUGGGGUAAAGGCCUACCAAGACAAUGAUACGUAGCCGACCUGAGAGGGUGGUCGGCCACACUGGGACUGAGACACGGCCCAGACUCCUACGGGAGGCAGCAGUAGGGAAUCUUCCACAAUGGGCGAAAGCCUGAUGGAGCAAUGCCGCGUGAAUGAAGAAGGUCUUCGGAUCGUAAAGUUCUGUUAUUAGAGAAGAACAAGUCAAGGAGUAACUGUCUUGACUUUGACGGUACCUAACCAGAAAGUCACGGCUAACUACGUG
rnacentral:rRNA from 1 species